UGCUCCACCAGCUCCACCGUGCUGGUCAUCUGCUCCACCAUAGGGAUCCUCGGUCCCACCUGGUCCAGGCCUAGUCCUCUCUCAUCUUGCACUGUCGUCACUCCUCCUUUUAUCCUUCAGGAGCUCCUCUGUGGGACAGGAGACCGGAGAAGAUGCUGUCUGCUCUGACUUUCCAAGAGACUAACUCCACAGUCAGCCUUAGGAUCCUGCUUUCCCGAGAGAAGUGUAUGUCAGAUGGUGGUUGCACAGGCUCUGAACUAUGGCUGCUCUCUAUCUUUCUGAGGUUAACAGUAUCUCUCCUAGCUGCUUGAUGUCAUAAGCACUUAAAUUUAUGGCUUAUGAAUCAUAAAGAUGUAUAGCCGUAAUCUUAGUCUGUGUUCACAGAAAGAGAAAUUAAGGAAGUCUGCAUCUACUUCAGCUGCUUCAUCUCAAAAGAGAAUUGGGACUGGAUUUGAAAUGACAUAGGUGACUGGAUCAGCAGAAAGACAAAGAGAUUCAUGAUUGUGCUUUGAUUUACAGGAAUGUUCCCAUAAUGCACUGCAGUACUGGGG
rnacentral:lncRNA from 1 species